AUAUUUGAUAUUUGAUAUAAGUACUACAGGAUUUCUUACAUCACUGCUAAAGAAAGCACUUACCUCAAUAAGCGUAGGUGUCGAACUGGUCGUAUUUGCUUUUGAACCGUCCUUACUUCGAUAGAAUCCGCGGAUCUUACGUACCUCUUCUCAGGAUUUCCCUAACAUUGUUAGUAAAAGCUGCCUUUAGUGCCAGGACGUUUAGGACUCGUACUUGGCACUUGAAGUAACAAAAACUAUGCUUGAAAGCAACUAGUGG
rnacentral:lncRNA from 1 species